rnacentral:tRNA from 2 species
GCCCCUAUAGCUCAAAUGGAUAGAGCAGCGGUUUCCUAAACCGUCGGUCCCUGUUCAAUUCGGGGUAGGGGCGCCA